ensembl:lncRNA
UUUUCAUAACCAUAACUGAGCAAAUCCCUUCGAUCUGACCUGGAAAACCCUUUAUGUGUAUCUGUAGCUUCACAAGCCACCACUGACAGAAAUAUGAACAUUUUGCAGUACUGCCCCUCCUCUGACAUCUGGAUGCUCUUUGAAACCUGUGAAUUCUGCAUUUGGAAGCAGCAGAUGGUGUCUGUGGAAGAGACCAGCUACACUGUGGUUCAGGUGGCUUGAAAUUCUUCAUAAUCAAGGAGAUGUCAUCAUAUGGCACAAAGCAAAAGGAAAGCAAUUCAGAAGAAGAGAUCUUCUCUCAUGAAACCCUUUCAUAAAGGCAUUAAUUUCUUCAAGGGAAUAAAGCCCUCAUGACCUAAACACUUCCUAGAAGAGGGACUGGAUAAAGGAAGUUCAUAAAAAUGGCAUCGUGUAGAAUUCAGCUCUCUUGCCCUUCUGGCUUCUGUCAUAUAAGGACAUAGUAUUCUUCUGCUCUGCAGGAUGCAUAAUAAGGCACUGUUUUGGAAAGAAAGAC